rnacentral:rRNA from 1 species
CCACCUAAUAAUUAAAUAAUAUAAAUAAAAUAAAAUAAGCCUAAAACCAAAAACUAAACCAUUCUUUUACCUGAGUACGGGAGACAGAAAAGGUCCUACCAAAGCAAUAGAAAUAGUACCGCAAGGGAAAGCUGAAAGAGAAAUGAAAUAACCCAUAUAAGCACUAAAAAGCAAAGAUUAAAUCUUGUACCUUUUGCAUCAUGAUUUAGCCAGUACACCCAAGCAAAGAGACCUUUAGUUUGAAACCCCGAAACCAAGUGAGCUACCCCGAGACAGCCUAUCAAGGGCCAACCCGUCUCUGUGGCAAAAGAGUGGGAAGAACUCCGGGUAGAAGUGACAGACCUACCGAACCUGGUGAUAGCUGGUUGCCUAAGAAGUGAAUAGAAGUUCAGCCUCGUGUUCCCCAAAUCAGAAAGAAAUAAGACCAAGAGAAAUGCACGAGAGUUAGUUAAAGGGGGUACAGCCCCUUUAACAAAGGACACAACCUUUACAGGAGGAUAAAGAUCAUAAUAUAUAAAAUAUACUGUUCUAGUGGGCCUAAAAGCAGCCACCUAAACAGAAAGCGUUAAAGCUCAGACAGAAAGAGGUUUAUUAUUCUGACAAAAAAUCUUACUCCCCUGAGUACUAUUAGGCCAACCCAUGCCUACAUGGAAGAGACUAUGCUAAAAUGAGUAACAAGAAGGCUUGCCCUUCUCCCAGCACAAGUGUAAGCCAAAUCGGACCCACCAUCGGCAAUUAACGAACUCAACCCAAGAGAGCAAUGUGGAUUACAAAAAGGCCAAGAAAAACCCACAACUAAAUUAUCGUUACCCCCACACUGGAGUGCCAUUUAAAGGAAAGACUAAAAGAAAAGGAAGGAACUCGGCAAACACAAGCCUCGCCUGUUUACCAAAAACAUCGCCUCCUGCAACCCAACUAAGUAUAGGAGGUCCAGCCUGCCCAGUGACCACAAGUUCAACGGCCGCGGUAUUUUGACCGUGCAAAGGUAGCGCAAUCACUUGUCUUUUAAAUAGAGACCUGUAUGAACGGCUAAACGAGGGCUUAACUGUCUUCCCUUUCAAGUCAGUGAAAUUGAUCUGCCCGUGCAGAAGCG